rnacentral:lncRNA from 1 species
AAACUGAUGAUGACAAUGAUAACUCCUAGCAUUGUGAUGGGCACUUGAAUUAACUUAUCUCCCCAUAGCCCUAUAGGGGUGCUAUUGGGGCCCACCUAGAUCCCAUUUAAUUUGCCUAGCACCCUGCCCCCAGCAGCUGUGUUGGCUGCUCACAGCUCUCAGCUGCUUCCUUUUUCUGAGCCCUGGGCUGCCUAGAAAUGACUGCUUUCCCAGCGAAGGUGACCCUCAGCCAAUGAUUGACAGACAUGCGAUGCAAAACGCUGGUCUCUUGUCUGAAGGUCGGAUGACUCUGCGGUGCCAUCAGUGUUACAGAGCUCCCUGUGGGAUCAGGCUGAGUUCUGGGCUGGAUGAGCCCUGGUGCAAAUAGUUACCCUGGAGUGGAAGUAGACGUGGAACACAGCGCCAAGGAGGAACAUCAGAACUGAGGGAACCAAGCCGGUUUGUGGAUGGUAACGAGACAGCAGGCACUGGGCAAGGGGCACAGCUGGGAGAGUGCAAGCAUGUGGCCCUGUAGCCAGCAAUGUCACAAUCACGAGGUGAGCCAGACUUGGGAUGAAGCUGAUGUCUUGGAAGGUAGAGCAAGGAGAGAGAAACGGAGUCUUUGGUGACACAGUUGAGUGACUGAAUUAAACAAAUCCUGAAGCCUGCCCUUCCUCUGGGCUUUGAGAAGCUCUUUACAUUUUCUGUUGAAGAUGGUCAAAUGAAAUGGUGGAUGUGGUGUUGUUUGUAACAGCCAGGCAUUGGAAACAACCUAAAUGUUCAUUCACUCAGAAAAGGAUUAAAUAAAUUAUGAGAACCAGAAGAUUAUCUUCGUUGUUCUAUCCAUUUUGAAUGGAAUUUUCUCCUGCUUGUUAUAUAGUCUUCAUGGACGCAUGCAUCAAACUGUUUGAAGUGUUUAACCUUGGGAAUGGGGUGUUUGUGUGUGUAUGUGGUCAGAGGGCUGAUGGGAGAAAUUCUUUCAU